AGUGGAAUUGCUGGGUCAUAUAGUAAAGGUAUAUUUAACUUUAUAAGAAACUGUCAAACUGUUUUCCAAAGUGUCUCUACUAUUUUGUACUUACACCAGUAAU
rnacentral:pre_miRNA from 2 species